GAAUUCGAUUAGAGUUUGAUCAUGGCUCAGAUUGAACGCUGGCGGCAGGCCUAACACAUGCAAGUCGAACGGUAACAGGAAACAGCUUGCUGUUUCGCUGACGAGUGGCGGACGGGUGAGUAAUGUCUGGGAAACUGCCUGAUGGAGGGGGAUAACUACUGGAAACGGUAGCUAAUACCGCAUAACGUCGCAAGACCAAAGAGGGGGACCCUCGGGCCUCUUGCCAUCGGAUGUGCCCAGAUGGGAUUAGCUUGUUGGUGGGGUAACGGCUCACCAAGGCGACGAUCCCUAGCUGGUCUGAGAGGAUGACCAGCCACACUGGAACUGAGACACGGUCCAGACUCCUACGGGAGGCAGCAGUGGGGAAUAUUGCACAAUGGGCGCAAGCCUGAUGCAGCCAUGCCGCGUGUAUGAAGAAGGCCUUCGGGUUGUAAAGUACUUUCAGCGGGGAGGAAGGGAGUAAAGUUAAUACCUUUGCUCAUUGACGUUACCCGCAGAAGAAGCACCGGCUAACUCCGUGCCAGCAGCCGCGGUAAUACGGAGGGUGCAAGCGUUAAUCGGAAUUACUGGGCGUAAAGCGCACGCAGGCGGUUUGUUAAGUCAGAUGUGAAAUCCCCGGGCUCAACCUGGGAACUGCAUCUGAUACUGGCAAGCUUGAGUCUCGUAGAGGGGGGUAGAAUUCCAGGUGUAGCGGUGAAAUGCGUAGAGAUCUGGAGGAAUACCGGUGGCGAAGGCGGCCCCCUGGACGAAGACUGACGCUCAGGUGCGAAAGCGUGGGGAGCAAACAGGAUUAGAUACCCUGGUAGUCCACGCCGUAAACGAUGUCGACUUGGAGGUUGUGCCCUUGAGGCGUGGCUUCCGGAGCUAACGCGUUAAGUCGACCGCCUGGGGAGUACGGCCGCAAGGUUAAAACUCAAAUGAAUUGACGGGGGCCCGCACAAGCGGUGGAGCAUGUGGUUUAAUUCGAUGCAACGCGAAGAACCUUACCUGGUCUUGACAUCCACGGAAGUUUUCAGAGAUGAGAAUGUGCCUUCGGGAACCGUGAGACAGGUGCUGCAUGGCUGUCGUCAGCUCGUGUUGUGAAAUGUUGGGUUAAGUCCCGCAACGAGCGCAACCCUUAUCCUUUGUUGCCAGCGGUCCGGCCGGGAACUCAAAGGAGACUGCCAGUGAUAAACUGGAGGAAGGUGGGGAUGACGUCAAGUCAUCAUGGCCCUUACGACCAGGGCUACACACGUGCUACAAUGGCGCAUACAAAGAGAAGCGACCUCGCGAGAGCAAGCGGACCUCAUAAAGUGCGUCGUAGUCCGGAUUGGAGUCUGCAACUCGACUCCAUGAAGUCGGAAUCGCUAGUAAUCGUGGAUCAGAAUGCCACGGUGAAUACGUUCCCGGGCCUUGUAGACA
rnacentral:rRNA from 1 species